UACGGAAGGCAGCAGGGGGGAAUAUUGCACAAUGGGCGCAAGCCUGAUGCAGCCAUGCCGCGUGUAUGAAGAAGGCCUUCGGGUUGUAAAGUACUUUCAGUCGUGAGGAAGGUGUUAAGGUUAAUAACCUUAGCAAUUGACGUUAGCGACAGAAGAAGCACCGGCUAACUCCGUGCCAGCAGCCGCGGUAAUACGGAGGGUGCGAGCGUUAAUCGGAAUUACUGGGCGUAAAGGGCACGCAGGCGGUUAAUUAAGUUGGAUGUGAAAUCCCCGGGCUUAACCUGGGAAUGGCAUUCAAGACUGGUUAGCUAGAGUCUUGUAGAGGGGGUAGAAUUCCAUGUGUAGCGGUGAAAUGCGUAGAGAUGUGGAGGAAUACCGGUGGCGAAGGCGGGCCCCUGGGACAAAGACUGACGCUCAUGUGCGAAAGCGUGGGGAGCAAACAGGGAUUAGAUACC
rnacentral:rRNA from 1 species